rnacentral:tRNA from 2 species
GGGGGGAUACCAAAGUGGCCAACUGGGGCAGACUGUAAAUCUGCUGUCGCUCGACUUCGAAGGUUCGAAUCCUUCUCCCCCCA